UACGGAGGGUGCAAGCGUUAUCCGGAUUCACUGGGUUUAAAGGGUGCGUAGGCGGGUAAGUAAGUCAGUGGUGAAAUCUUCAAGCUUAACUUGGAAACUGCCAUUGAUACUAUUUAUCUUGAAUGUUCUGGAGGUCAGCGGAAUAUGUCAUGUAGCGGUGAAAUGCUUAGAUAUGACAUAGAACACCUAUUGCGAAGGCAGCUGACUACGGAAAUAUUGACGCUGAGGCACGAAAGCGUGGGGAGCAAACAGG
rnacentral:rRNA from 1 species